rnacentral:lncRNA from 1 species
UUUCCUAUUCUGCUCUCGCUUCACAUGGUAAACAGUAUUGCCAAGAACAAUUCCAUGGCCCUUUUUUUUUAAGUAUUUUUUUUUAAUAUUUUCAUUCAAGAAUUAUAUUAAACUGAAGAGGCUUUUUGUCGACCUUUAUUAGAUUCAUGCAUCUUUGUUGAAAUAGUAUACUUGACAGCAAUCUAUUUCCAUAACAUUUUUUUAAGUAUUUUAUAUUUAUUAAAAAAAUUAUUAUUUAAAAAAAAGAGG